UACAGAGGUCCCAAGCGUUGUUCGGAUUCACUGGGCGUAAAGGGUGCGUCGGCGGUCGGGUAAGUCUGAUGUGAAAUCUCACAGCUUAACUGUGAAACUGCAUUGGAUACUAUCCGGCUCGAGGAAUGGAGGGGAGACUGGAAUACUUGGUGUAGCAGUGAAAUGCGUAGAUAUCAAGUGGAACACCAGUGGCGAAGGCGAGUCUCUGGACAUUUCCUGACGCUGAGGCACGAAAGCCAGGGGAGCAAACGGG
rnacentral:rRNA from 1 species